rnacentral:tRNA from 1 species
GGACAUGCAGUACAAGGUAGUGCAGUUUGAUUGCAAAUCAUAACUAAGGAGUUCGAUUCCCCCAUGUCCC